UGAGUACGAGAUGCUACGGCAUCGAAGCAGUCUAUGUCAUACUUCCAAGAAAAGCUUGCACUGUCAGAAACAGAUAAUGCCUGUACCAUAACCGACACAGGUGGGUAGGUAGGGUAUACUAAGGGGCGCGAGAUAACUCUCUCUAAGGAACUCGGCGAAAUGACUCCGUAACUUCGGGAGAAGGAGUGCCUUAUUUUUAAGGUUGCAAUAACAAGAUCCAAGCAACUGUUUACCAAAAACACAGGUCUCCGCUAAGUCGUAAGACGAUGUAUGGGGGCUGACGCCUGCCCAGUGCCAGAAGGUUAAAGAAGUCGGUUAGCAUUCGCGAAGCUGGUAACUGAAGCCCUGGUGAACGGCGACCGUAACAAUAACGGUCCUAAGGUAGCGAAAUUCCUUGUCGGGUAAGUUCCGACCCGCACGAAAGGCGUAAUGAUUUGGAUACUGUCUCGGAGAGGGGCUCGGUGAAAUAGACUUGUCUGUGAAGAUGCGGACUACCUGCACCUGGACAGAAAGACCCUAUGAAGCUUUACUGUAACUUGAAAUUGAAAUUGGACUUUAUUUGCGCAGUAUAGGUGGGAGGCGUUGAAAAUAUUCUUGCGGGAAUAUUGGAGCCAUCAGUGAGAUACCACUCUUGUAAUGUUAGAUUUCUAACUUUAUAUCAUUAUCUGGUUAAAGAACAGUUUCAGGCGGGCAGUUUGACUGGGGCGGUCGCCUCCCAAAUGGUAACGGAGGCGCACAAAGGUUUCCUCUGAACGGGUAGAAAUCGUAUCUAGAGUGUAAAGGCAUAAGGAAGCUUGACUGUGAGACCUACAAGUCGAGCAGGGACGAAAGUCGGUCUUAGUGAUCUGACGGUGCUGAGUGGAAAGGCCGUCACUCAACGGAUAAAAGUUACUCUAGGAUAACAGGCUGAUCUCCCCCAAGAGUUCACAUCGACGGGGAGGUUUGGCACCUCGAUGUCGGCUCAUCGCAUCCUGGGGCGGUAGUACGUCCCAAGGGUUGGGCUGUUCGCCCAUGAAAGCGGUACGCGAGCUGGGUUCAGAACGUCGUGAGACAGUUCGGUCCAUAUCCGGUGUAGGCGUUAGAAUAUUGAGAGGAGCCUUCUUUAGUACGAGAGGACCGAGAAGGACAUACCUCUGGUGUACCAGUUAUCGUGCCAACGGUAAACGCUGGGUAGCUAUGUAUGGAGUGGAUAACCGCUGAAGGCAUCUAAGUGGGAAGCCCACCUCAAGAUAAGUAUUCUC
rnacentral:rRNA from 1 species